rnacentral:misc_RNA from 1 species
UUAGCUGCCAAUGUCUGCGAUAGCAACUAAUGGCGUCACCAUUCUCGCUUUGCGCGAGAUGGAACGAGUUUUUAUCUGUCGUCUGCAACUCGCAGCUCUCGGAAAGCGCAGAACUCCGAUAGGAUAAAUAUGGCUAUAACUAGAGUUGUUCCAGGAUGGUAUCAGAGAAUCAAUGCUAUCAAUGGAGAGAUGACUGAUACAAUGACUUAUAAAACUUUCUGUCUGGCUAAUGAGCCACGCCUAAAAACUUUGUAUCCAUUUCUUCCUCAAAAACAAAUCAAGGGAAAGCUCUUCAAACAAUGGAAGAAGUCUCAGUUAUCAGAGAAAAGUUUAAAAGCCAAGCCAAAGUCUGAACAAAUAAAGUCAAGAAGGAAGCAUUCUGUUAUACUGUCUGCAUCCAUUACAAACCACUGCAAAAAUCUACAUGAGACACAUAAUCCAAAUCUGGCACUGAAUCCAAAAAUUAAAGGUUCUUUAAAUUUUCAAACUGAUGAACAGCUGCAAUCAAUUCUGAAGACUCCAAGUCAAGAAAAUAAUAGUCAUCCAUUUUUAUUGCACAAGUUCCGGAUGUGGUAGUUCAGAUGGAAAAUCUAGAGAAAAGUAUUGAAAAAGAAAGGUUGGUAUUGUAACUUUCUGGUUGUAUUAGGUAUGAACUGAGAAAUACAUAACAUUGUGAUGCAUUUCUAUGUAUAUAUGUGCAAUGUGUCAACUCAUUUAUGUGUAUACAUGAAUUUUCUUGCAGGUGUACAUCACCAUUAUUUUAUGAGCAUGUUUUAUAUUUAAUGUGCCAAGAAACAAUUAUUCUCUUGUUCUUGUGUAAUUGUAAUAAAAUCAGUUCAAGCUGAAUAAGGUUUAAGGGAACACCUAUAUGUGUAAAUUAUGUAUUAAGCUGGUGAUGAGAAUGCAUAAGUGUAUCUAUUCACACCAUGUGUACUAUUCUUUGAGAUGAUAGUCUUUGAACUAAAAAUUUUCCAUGUGUUUGUUUUAGCACUGCAGCAUCAAACUACAGCUCCACAAGUCUGGCAAAUAAGGUCAGUUUUUCGUUAACCAAUAGUAACAGGAGCUCUAAUCCAAAUGAUGAACAUCUUAUUUCUACAAAAAACACACAAGAACUGACCCCACAGGUGUCAUAUCUAUUUCACAUAAGCAAAAACCAAAACUGCAAACAAACAUUAAGCAGAGAACUGAAAGACUGAAAGAAGAAGCUGCUUUUGACACUUUGCCACCUGAAUUUCGCAGUGUACUUAGUGGCAAACUCAAGGACGGAGAAAAGAGGUUCUGUCUAUUUGAAGAUGAGUUUCCUCUAGAAGAUCUUCCCCUAAGUAGGAAAAAAUCUAAGAGAAAAACUGAUACACAGGUGGUAAUUUCAUCCAAAAAAUCAUCAGGAUCUGGUAGAAAAUGUAUCAGGCCUGUUAAACAUUCAACAAAAAAGAAAAUGCAAAUCAGAGACAAAAACACAAAUUCUGAUCAGAAAUCAAAAUCUCAGCUUAAUAAGACCUUCAGUAUCAUCUGUUCCUACCACCAUAUUAAAAAGGUCUUCAGAAAUGCCAGCCAAAGACCUUGGCAUAUAUGGAUCAUCAAAUGGUCAAACUAAAACUUGUCUGAAAAGUUCUUACAAAAAAUUAUCAAAGUUUAGAAGUCAAGAGAUGCCAUACCUACAAACAUCUAUAUCAUCCCCACCUCUGUUCUCAAUUUCUCUAGAUCAUUCAAAAGACAAGGGGAUGACAAGCAAAAAUGAUGAACAAAGGGCAGAAUAUAAAAUGUUUGUUGGCAGAAAAGAAGCCAAACUUGAUGAAAAUGAUAUGCCUCUAAACUGGUUAGACAGCAAUAAAAAAAAACCCAAGGAAAUCUGCAAAUGUUACAAAGCUAAACUCUAAACAGUUAAGUUUCAGUAAGCAAACAAUCACAUGCUUUGAUAACAUUCUAUCAUCUGGCACUAGAUCUAUUGGUAAAUCAAAGAAAUCUCACGUGAGAAGAAAUACUUCAAAUAAAAAUAGCAUUACAUCUGAAGAGAACAAAGACAGCAGAAAUAAGGCACAAGACAAGAUAAGAUGUCAACUUCUGAGUGAGUUUACAGAUGCCUACAUCAUCCCAUCUGAAAAGAAUGAAAACACCCAGUCAAGACCUUUUCCUUCUGAAUUCCAAAAGAAGAUGGAAGACUUGAUAGGGCCUUCAGAACUGAACAACAAAGAACUAGAGACAGACAAGUCAAGUAUCUUGCUCAAGAUUAUCAAUCAGCUAAAACCUUGCAAGACAUCCUGUCAAUCACUGGUUCAGCCAGAACCAUCUGAGGCCAAGACAGUUGAAAAAAGGCCAUCUAAAAGGGACAACAUACUCUGUAAUAUGUUUGAGGAACCAAAAACACUAAUUAAAUCAAGAAGAUAUAUUUCUAGUAAAGAGGAUGCUCAGUUUCCUGUACUGGAUGAUGGAGACUUCAUGUAAACAAGCAUUUGCAUUGUUAGUUUUUUGUCAUUUCACAUGUGUCUUUAACACUUGUUGUCUUCAAUAUUUAUGGACUAGAUGAAAGAAAUUUCAAUCAAAAACUGUCUCCUGUGAUGUGUCUCCUAUAAUUUUUUCUAAAAUUCCAUGAUACCUUGACU